GAGUUUGAUCCUGGCUCAGGAUGAACGCUGGCGGCGUGCCUAACACAUGCAAGUCGAACGAAGCGUGCGGAUGGAAUUUCUUCGGAGAGGAAGCCUGCAUGACUGAGUGGCGGACGGGUGAGUAACGCGUGGGCAACCUGCCCUGCACAGGGGGACAACAGCCGGAAACGGCUGCUAAUACCGCAUAAGCGCACAGCUUCGCAUGGAGCGGUGUGAAAAGCUGCGGCGGUGCAGGAUGGGCCCGCGUCUGAUUAGCUGGUUGGCGGGGCAACGGCCCACCAAGGCGACGAUCAGUAGCCGGCCUGAGAGGGUGGACGGCCACAUUGGGACUGAGACACGGCCCAGACUCCUACGGGAGGCAGCAGUGGGGAAUAUUGCACAAUGGGGGAAACCCUGAUGCAGCGACGCCGCGUGAGCGAAGAAGUAUUUCGGUAUGUAAAGCUCUAUCAGCAGGGAAGAAAUUGACGGUACCUGAGUAAGAAGCUCCGGCUAAAUACGUGCCAGCAGCCGCGGUAAUACGUAUGGAGCAAGCGUUAUCCGGAUUUACUGGGUGUAAAGGGAGCGUAGGCGGCCUGCCAAGUCUGAUGUGAAAUACCGGGGCUCAACCCCGGGGCUGCAUUGGAAACUGGCAGGCUGGAGUGUC
rnacentral:rRNA from 1 species